UAGUAGGACGUUGUUUUCAGGAAAUGUUUAUGUAGAAGGUGCCAGGGGCCACGGCAGCAAAAUAAAAGAAAAGAAAAUAUUCAUCUUGUCGAUUUUAAUAGUGGCCAAACUGGUGAAAAUCCUAAUUUUGGUCAACAUGAUUUUCUUCGUGAUGCUGUUUAUUAAAAAGAUCAUCUUGGUGACGGCGAUAGUUUUUCCGUCGGUGCUGAGCCAUAUUAAACAGGCCUGUCAGCAACACCAUCAGCAUCAUACACCAAUUAUUGCCGAAGAAGGUCCGGCACAUUCUAGUUCAUGGUUUGGGUGGAGACAAGACACACCAGAAAAAUCUUGGCUUCCGACAGAUCGACACUCUUAUUGGCCUUAUUGGUCAUAAAUUUUAUAAACUAUUAUUAACUGUUAAAUAAAGUCUUACAACAAAAA